rnacentral:rRNA from 1 species
UGGGGAAUUUUGGACAAUGGGCGAAAGCCUGAUCCAGCAAUGCCGCGUGUGUGAAGAAGGCCUUCGGGUUGUAAAGCACUUUUGUCCGGAAAGAAAUCCUUGGCUCUAAUACAGUCGGGGGAUGACGGUACCGGAAGAAUAAGCACCGGCUAACUACGUGCCAGCAGCCGCGGUAAUACGUAGGGUGCAAGCGUUAAUCGGAAUUACUGGGCGUAAAGCGUGCGCAGGCGGUUUGCUAAGACCGAUGUGAAAUCCCCGGGCUCAACCUGGGAACUGCAUUGGUGACUGGCAGGCUAGAGUAUGGCAGAGGGGGGUAGAAUUCCACGUNUAGCAGUGAAAUGCGUAGAGAUGUGGAGGAAUACCGAUGGCGAAGGCAGCCCCCUGGGCCAAUACUGACGCUCAUGCACGAAAGCGUGGGGGAGCAAACAGGAUUAGAUACCCUGGUAGUCCACGCCCUAAACGAUGUCAACUAGUUGUUGGGGAUUCAUUUCCUUAGUAACGUAGCUAACGCGUGAAGUUGACCGCCUGGGGAGUACGGUCGCAAGAUUAAAACUCAAAUGAAUUGACGGGGUCAUAGCUGUUUCCU